rnacentral:rRNA from 1 species
GUGAACCUUUACUAUAGCUUGACACUGAACAUUGAGCCUUGAUGUGUAGGAUAGGUGGGAGGCUUUGAAGCGUGGACGCCAGUCUGCGUGGAGCCGACCUUGAAAUACCACCCUUUAAUGUUUGAUGUUCUAACGUGGACCCGUAAUCCGGGUUGCGGACAGUGUCUGGUGGGUAGUUUGACUGGGGCGGUCUCCUCCUAAAGAGUAACGGAGGAGCACGAAGGUUGGCUAAUCCUGGUCGGACAUCAGGAGGUUAGUGCAAUGGCAUAAGCCAGCUUGACUGCGAGCGUGACGGCGCGAGCAGGUGCGAAAGCAGGUCAUAGUGAUCCGGUGGUUCUGAAUGGAAGGGCCAUCGCUCAACGGAUAAAAGGUACUCCGGGGAUAACAGGCUGAUACCGCCCAAGAGUUCAUAUCGACGGCGGUGUUUGGCACCUCGAUGUCGGCUCAUCACAUCCUGGGGCUGAAGUAGGUCCCAAGGGUAUGGCUGUUCGCCAUUUAAAGUGGUACGCGAGCUGGGUUUAGAACGUCGUGAGACAGUUCGGUCCCUAUCUGCCGUGGGCGCUGGAGAACUGAGGGGGGCUGCUCCUAGUACGAGAGGACCGGAGUGGACGCAUCACUGGUGUUCGGGUUGUCAUGCCAAUGGCACUGCCCGGUAGCUAAAUGCGGAAGAGAUAAGUGCUGAAAGCAUCUAAGCACGAAACUUGCCCCGAGAUGAGUUCUCCCUGAGACUUAGAGUCUCCUGAAGGAACGUUGAAGACGACGACGUUGAUAGGCCGGGUGUGUAAGCGCAGCGAUGCGUUGAGCUAACCGGUACUAAUGAACCGUGAGGCUUAACCUUAC